GGGGCUUGUUACUGAAGGUCUUGGUCGAUUAAUUUGAUCUUCACUUGGCUUCGUGCAGCUCAGGGCGCCUGGACUCGGGAGAGCUGAACACGGUGAAAAAAGACGCUGCCUUCGUUGCUCCCACAGGGCGCUUUUAAGCCUGACUCUGCAGGUAAACACAUUUCAGGAGGCCCGGGCUUUGCCCCCCACACCCCGCCCGGCUCAAGCGCUGGCCUCUGCACCUGCACGCUUCGGCCUGUGGGGGGGAGACGGCUCUCCCUCUACGUGUCCUGAUUUCCCCUCUCUGGGCUUCACGUCGCAGUCCCUUUCGUCCACAGGGAAACCCCUUCCCCAUCCUAGACCAGCCUGUGAGGGGUGGAGGUGGGGGGCGGUCACCGUUUCCCGGCCCUUCGCUGCCCAGGUGUGCGCUUUGCUCGACGUGGCCAUGGUCGUUGAGAAGCUGGACUUCAAGGUCAUGCUCUCCGUCGCCGGCGGCUUGCUGCUCGUCGCCUUCGUGCUGGUGUGCUGUGUCUUCUACCACAGCUACAAAGUGACCAGGGCGCUGAAGUGAGGGCAGGAGCACGCGCGCCCCCUCAGGCGGGCCCCGGGGCUCGGGGCCUGAGCCAGGUCACCCCUGCCCUGCCGCCCGCCCUGGGGGGGAGGCUGGAGAAGACACAGGCAGGUAGGAUCUUGGCUUCUGCCCCUCCUGCUGUGGGCCCGGGAGCGCGUAAGGAGAACGUGCCCAGCCCGGUGGCUCUGCUGCUCUGCUGUCCCUUGGCCUCGAGGGGUUUCCGCUCAGUUGGCUGUCACAGCUCUGCAGACGGAAGACGGCCAGUGAGUCUCUGCCUCUGCUCUCCCAGGGGACAGGCGGAGUCUCCUCCUGCCCGGGUUGGGGGGCUCUCGGGGUGUCCCCUCCGUCAGGGCCCUGGGGACGGGAAGGCGGCCCGUAGGACUCUGGGCAGCUGAGCUGUGUGGGAUCCUGGGGACCAGACCAGUCUCUGCAAAAUGUUUUUCACUUCAUCUGGAGCCGAGGAGCAGGUUUCCGGGAGGCAAAGGGAGCGAUUCCAGUUUGGGGAAGUUAACCCGUGACGAGGGUGCGGAGCGGGGGCCCCGCUGGCGCCUGCGCACUGCCUGCCCGGCACGCCCGCCCCUCCCGUCUGGAGCCGGAGGCACAGCCCGGCCGGACCUGGUGCCACAUCCCCUCUCGCUGUAGCUUCAUCGAGCCAUCGGAGGGCAGGUUGGAAAAACAUGACAUGGACACAAAAGGCAGGAGACUUGGUUUGGAAGAAGGCCAGCCUGGGACUCCGCCAUCUCCUCAUGCUCCUCUGUCAGGCCUCAGGCGGCCAAGCCUCCAGGGGUGACAGUGAGGCACAUGCGCCCAGACGGGUGGACCCCCUGCAUCCCUCGGCCACAGUCCUGCCUCAGGCAGCAGAGACCAGGCCUGCUGAGCUCAGCUGCCUCCUGACUUUGCUCUCUGUGUCUGCGGCCCCUGAGGGCCGGGGCUAUGCCGUCUGGGACCCCCCGGUUCCUAGCACACAACCCAGACUCCUUAGGGGUCGGGUAAUGACCGGAAUGUCACCUCUGCCAUGCCGGUAACACUCGCACCAGAUAAACAGUUCGACUCCCACACGGCAGUGAAUCUGGGAUGGCAUUAUUUUGCCUCUUGUGAGACUGUGUUACAGAUUAGAAUUUUUCAUAAACCGACUUCCUGCUAGUGUAUUUUCUGAAGACCCAUACGCAUCGCAACGGUUUUAUUUUGUUACCUUCUAGUCACAUAAUUGCACCCGCGCUUAAGGUGAUAGUUGCCAUGGAGCUAUUAUGCUGACUCAUUAAGUGAGUUAUGACACGUUAACCAAUGCGUUAAAGCACCUAAAACUCAGAACGGCCUGAGAACAGGCCCGUCAUUGCGAGCUUGGCUUUAAGGUCUAAUGGGAGCAUCUUCAACCAACUGCUGACCCGCCCAGGCUCGGGGCCCAGCACUGGAUCCCUGCUUGAUGUGUUUCUCUCAUCGUCAGGUUGCUGCUUCCCCAGCUCUGCAGCACGGGAGCUCACGCACGGGGAAGGCAGAACACAGCACACCUUCCACAGCCCGCUCUGAACGUCCUCUCCCUGCUCUGUCCUCUCUCGCCUCACCUCCUGGCCCUUCUUUUUUUUUUUCUUUUGAGCCCAUGGCAUAUGGAAAUUCCCAGGCCAGGGAUCAACCAGUAGUAGCAACCGGAGCCACGGUGGUGACAACACCAGGUCCUUAAUCCACUGAGCCACAGGGGAACUCCACGUUGUUCCUGAUCCUCAAGGACACACAGGGAGCUUGACUCUAUCAUGGUUGUGUGGGACGCAUGUCUCGUGCCGGCUCCUGGCAGCCACGCUGGGCCUGGGAGGUGCCCUGCAUCCACAGCCUCAGCUAAACCUUCUCCAGGCUGGACCUGUGCCUGGCGAGCUCCUCCUCAGAGGCUGCCAUUUACCCUCCUCCAGCCGCCAGACCUAAACAACGAAGUGGCACAACUCUGGUCCUUCAGAGGGGAAGGAUCAGGGAGUUCCCAUUGUGGCUCAGUGGGUUAUGAACCCAACCAGUAUCCAUGAGGAUGCAGGUUUGAUCCCUGGCCUCACUCUGUGGGUUA